AUUUUUUAUUUCCCUUUUGUCAGUCGAGUUUGCAAAUGGAUCCAAAAACUAGACGUGGUACUGAUCCAACAUUGGCAUCCUCAUUAAUAAUUACAUGCGUUGUUUAACGCAUACUAUGCGACAUAAUAUUCAAUUUUUAAGAAAUAUAUUUCUACUACAAAAUCUCAAAGUUGAAAUUCAGUCUUAAUCUUCAAGCAGACUUGACAAAAGAAAGAUACAUAUUCAAAUAUAAUAUAUGAUCGAGUAUUCAGUAGACAGUAUCACUUCACAGUUGUAUAAAUAAUACAAGAGCAUACUAUCUGACUCAGUUCGAGAAUAAGAAAGAAGAAGAAGGAGUCUAUCCCUAGUGAAAGAAAAUAAAUAGAGUUCGGCGAUCACAACAACAUUAAAUAAACAACAAAAGAGUUAAGAGUCGAAGUGGGAGUGAUAAACCAGGAUGGAGGAGAAUCUUCGUGGUUUAGAGGCCCUUCUGUGUGAAUUCUUUGAUGAAAGAACGAACAAUGAUCGAAAAAGAGCAAUUGAAGCUUUGCUUGAGGGGUUUCAAUCCUCGAAAGGAGCCUGGAAAGAGGCUUCGUAUUUCAUGACUCAUACUCGUAAUCAAUAUGUUUGUAUGUUCGCCAUCAACACGCUGGAAAGCAUUAUUCAUAAGCAAUGGGUUGUACUUCAAGUCUCGGAUAAAUCGGAAAUCCGCUCUAUAAUCACGGGGAUUCUCAAGGAGCACAAUCAAUCCACUCCUCCUUUUAUUCGUAACAAACUCAUCAAGCUCCUUGUGGACAUCGCACGCACAGACUGGCCACAUUUCUACCCGGAAUUCUUCAUAAAAAAUAUCUAUGAGUCUCUAGAACAGAAGAAAACCCUGGUUUUAGGGUUAUCAACGCUGCUCAUUGCUUCUGAAGAACUAGCCACUCCCAGGGAAGAAAACGUGUACACGCUCAGGCGACAAGAAUUGAGAAAAUUGAUGAAUGAGCAAGUUCCCCGAAUACUCAGAACACUUCAUAAUAUCCUUUUAAAAGUAUUAUCUGGAAAAGGAUCCAGAAAUACACCGCCCCCCUCUCCAAGUCAUCGACCUCAUGCUAUCAAAACUUUUGCUCCUCUCAAGUCAUCCAAAGAAAACAACAAUCUUAACCCUUUAAGUUAUGAAGAAGAUGAAAAUGAAAUUGUAGAACUAGCUCUCAAAUGCUUGGCUCAUCUAUUUUCAUGGAUAUCCCUUUCUUCUGUAAGCUUAGACUUAACAGACGUUUUGUUUCGUUAUGCUCGACAGAGUGUUGGAAAUCUUGGGUGCUAUGCUAUGAACUGUAUUAAUGAAGUUGUGUAUUGUCAAUUUGUUCCCGAUAAUUAUCAAAACUUCUUUCUGCACAUUUUUAAGAAUGCAUUUUCUUUGCUGAGUGAUUUAAUGAAUGGAGAUCCAACAAAUGGACUUGUGGCAUUCGACGAAGUAUAUCUAGAAAAGUUUACUGAGCUUUUAAGAAAUUUUGUCCACAUACAUAUUCGUCGAUUUUACUCCAACCCUGAGUUCCCCAUGAUGGAUUUCCUUUCUCUUCUCUUUAAAUAUUCAUUUCAGCAACCUUAUUUAGAAGGUUUUUUUUCAUGUUUGGAAGUUUGGGGACUUUUUAUUGAUUUUGUUGGGAGCUCCCCCUCUAGGGUCAGUCAUGGAUCUCCUACAAAAGCAUUUAUGAAGUUUUAUUCAAACAUCAACUCAUCUGAUAAUCCUUAUGCUCCACCAUUAAUGGCGUUGGUGAGGGAUAUUCUAAAAAAAAUUUCCUUUAAAUUCAACGAAUCUGAAUUAAGUUCUUUGAACAAUAUUGUUAUUGAUGAUGAUAAUAAAACAGAGUGGCAAAACUUUUUGUUUCAUUGUAUCGAAAUCCUGAUGAAGGUUGCUUCCAAUUUUCCAAACGAAGUAUUUCAGCUCUUGGAUGAGGGCUGGAAGGAGUACUCUAGCGUCUAUCUCCAACUAACUAAAUAUAUUGUCAACUCCUCCUUUGUACUUCCAAGUGAAGUUGAGUAUCGACAGCUCCAUUGUGUUCUUAGAGACUUUUCCACUUAUCUACAAAUCAUGGGUCGAAUAUCAUCUUUUACGAUUGGGGAGCAUUUUAAUAGUCAAUUAAACAUUGCGGGUUCAUAUAUGAAGCAACUUAUAGAAUUGGUAUCCUUUGGAUCCCAGUAUAAACUGUACCUUCUUAAUUCUCCAUUUCCUGCUCUGUCAGAAGAUUUCAUGGAUGUACAUGCUCAAUCUCUAGCUGCUCUCAAAACUUGGUGCCAUUGGCUUGCUCAACUUCAUAGAGAGGCCAUUAAAGAACCUCAACAAUUCGAUUCUCAUUGUCGUGAACUCACUUCUUCCAUGGUCAUAUCCGUCAUUCCUGUAAUCAAAUCUGGUUCUAAUGAUAAGUUAAUGCAUGCUGUGGCUCAUUUUUUAGUGACUCUGACUGGUACUGUGAGGCCUCCUUCUAUAUGGAAACUCAAAGAAUUCACGGAACUAUUCAGUGAUCUUCCUCGAUUGAAAUUACUUCCCGACGCAGAAAGACUAAUGGUUAGGGCUUUAUCCAAUGUUUUACUUCUUACAUGGCCAGGAAUAUCGGAUCAACGUUGGGACGAAAGAGAAAAACAUCUCAAAAAGUUUCUUGGGGAAAUUACAAUCAACUUUGGAAAACUAUCUAGCACUGACAUUAUAACAGUUAAGGAUGCAGCUAAGCCUGUAAUUAUACAUGCCUUGCGUAUCCUUGGAGACUUGGUUGAGCAUAUACUGAAUGAGGUGACUCAGUCUAAGAAGCUCAUUCAUGAUUGCAUCAAAGAAAGUAUUAACAUUUCAUUCAGCCUUUUCCCUCUAUACCUUGACGAUGCGACCCUCACAGAGUCUCUUCUUUCCUUCUUUUUGAUUAUUUUUGAUGUUCUGAAAGCCCAAAUGGGACAUGAAUAUGUCGAAAAGUCUAUUCAAAACUUAUUGUCAGUAUUUAAUCAAGAGCAGUUGAAUCACAUUUUGUCAACAGACGAAGGAUCUGGACUUAAAGUAGUUGAAAAGUUUCUACAGAUUUUGCAAUUUGUUGUGAAGGAGCCCGAUUCAUCCUUUAGGAAAUUCAUUCCACUUACACUCUCACUAUGUCUGGAUCAUAUAUGCCCUUUAGUAAUUGAUAAGCCUUCGUCGGAUUUAAAAACACCGCUAUACUCUUUACUCUUCGAAACUCUUUUCAACAACUGGCAGUAUUUCUUUAAGUCCUCUGUUGUUCGCUGCUUAGCUGUUGCUGGACAUUCCAAGAUCAACAAUAAUGAUUUAAAAGAUCAGAAUAAAGAAUUAUUUCAUCGUGUUAUGGAAGCAUUUGGACGAUCCUUUUUACAGCCCGAUAUAUCUGUAUUUAAACAAAAUCUUCUAAAUCUCGAGAAAUUGCAUAAUAAAUGGAAACUCUACGAAAAGGAAGUUUUUAUGGAAUCACUUAUAACUCAAUUUCUGACUGUUUUGCUCCAAGUAUUAAUACAUCGAUCUCACGAUCUACUUAGAGAAGAAAUAAUCACAGCGGUUUAUAACAUGGCUUCAGUGGAUUUCAACGCUUUCUUCUCGGGUUUUCUGCAAGUGUUUCUAUCUGGAAUGGAAGGGUUAAACGAUCAACAAAGGGACACUCUCAAAAAUAAUUUUAAAUGUGAUUCAAAAUAAAUAAAGUUGAGUGACGUCAUCAAUCACCGAACUUUAGGUAUACGUUUUAAGACUGAACUGGACCGGACCAAGACUGAACUGAACGGACUGCAGUCUUCAUGAGUCGUAAAUAAGGACCGACACAACACUUUGAUUUUCCCACUUUUAAGAGUAGUACGGACAGAUUCAUCAACGAUUUGAGAUAUUAUAGACUUUGCAAUGUCAAUCAGAUGCCUCUAACUCAAGGUGGGAUGUCGUUUACCCAUCCAUAGAAACUUAAGAUACAUGCUUAUAAUAUAUAUUUCUAUCUAUUUAUUAAUAAUAUUAAAUAUUUUAAAAUUACAUCAAUCGAGUGCCGAAAUACAAGAAAUAAAUUUGA
rnacentral:misc_RNA from 1 species